GGAAUGUCCGAUUAUUAUCGAGAUAGUGUUGCCAUGGGAGCUUUUGGGGCAAUGGAAAAGGGCAUUCUCGUGUCCUGCUCAGCCGGAAAUUCAGGCCCCAGUCCCUACAGUUUAUCAAAUGUCGCACCAUGGAUCACCACCGUCGGUGCCGGAACCUUGGAUCGCGACUUCCCUGCCUUCGUUAGCCUCGGCAACGGCAAGAACUACUCCGGCGUGUCCCUCUACAGAGGCGACCCACUACCGGGAACGCUACUUCCAUUUGUUUAUGCUGGUAAUGCGAGUAACGCAC
rnacentral:lncRNA from 1 species